AUACGGAGGAUGCAGGCGUUAUCCGGAUUUAUUAGGUUUAAAGGGUGUGUAGGCGGGAGCCUAAGUCAGUGGUGAAAUCUCACAGCUUAACUGUGAAACUGCCAUUGAAACUGGGUUUCUUGAGUAUAGUUGAGGUAGGCGGAAUGUGUAAUGUAGCGGUGAAAUGCAUAGAUAUUACACAGAACACCGAUUGCGAAGGCAGCUUACUAAGCUAUUACUGACGCUGAUGCACGAAAGCGUGGGUAGCGAACAGGAUUAGAUACCCCGGUAGUCC
rnacentral:rRNA from 1 species